rnacentral:rRNA from 1 species
GAGUGGAUUAGCGGCGGACGGGUGAGUAACACGUGGGUAACCUGCCUCAAAGAGGGGGAUAGCCUCCCGAAAGGGAGAUUAAUACCGCAUAACAUUAUUUUAUGGCAUCAUAAAAUAAUCAAAGGAGCAAUCCGCUUUGAGAUGGACCCGCGGCGCAUUAGCUAGUUGGUGAGGUAAGGGCUCACCAAGGCGACGAUGCGUAGCCGACCUGAGAGGGGGAUCGGCCACAUUGGAACUGAGACACGGUCCAGACUCCUACGGGAGGCAGCAGUGGGGAAUAUUGCGCAAUGGGGGAAACCCUGACGCAGCAACGCCGCGUGAGUGAUGAAGGUUUUCGGAUCGUAAAACUCUGUCUUUAGGGACGAUAAUGACGGUACCUAAGGAGGAAGCCACGGCUAACUACGUGCCAGCAGCCGCGGUAAUACGUAGGUGGCAAGCGUUGUCCGGAUUUACUGGGCGUAAAGAGUAUGUAGGUGGGUGCUUAAGUCAGAUGUGAAAUUCCCGGGCUUAACCUGGGCGCUGCAUUUGAAACUGGGCAUCUAGAGUGCAGGAGAGGAAAGUGGAAUUCCUAGUGUAGCGGUGAAAUGCGUAGAGAUUAGGAAGAACACCAGUGGCGAAGGCGACUUUCUGGACUGUAACUGACACUGAGAUACGAAAGCGUGGGUAGCAAACAGGAUUAGAUACCCUGGUAGUCCACGCCGUAAACGAUGAAUACUAGGUGUCGGGGGGUACCACCCUCGGUGCCGCAGCAAACGCAUUAAGUAUUCCGCCUGGGGAGUACGGUCGCAAGAUUAAAACUCAAAGGAAUUGACGGGGACCCGCACAAGCAGCGGAGCAUGUGGUUUAAUUCGAAGCAACGCGAAGAACCUUACCUAGACUUGACAUCUCCUGAAUUACUCUUAAUCGAGGAAGUCCCUUCGGGGACAGGAAGACAGGUGGUGCAUGGUUGUCGUCAGCUCGUGUCGUGAGAUGUUGGGUUAAGUCCCGCAACGAGCGCAACCCUUAUUGUUAGUUGCUACUAUUAAGUUAAGCACUCUAACGAGACUGCCGCGGUUAACGUGGAGGAAGGUGGGGAUGACGUCAAAUCAUCAUGCCCCUUAUGUCUAGGGCUACACACGUGCUACAAUGGCUGGUACAACGAGCAGCAAACCCGCGAGGGGGAGCAAAACUUGAAAGCCAGUC